AUCUCUUGGUUCCAGCAUCGAUGAAGAACGCAGCGAAAUGCGAUAAGUAAUGUGAAUUGCAGAAUUCAGUGAAUCAUUGAAUCUUUGAACGCACAUUGCGCCCCUCGGUAUUCCGGGGGGCAUGCCUGUUCGAGCGUCAUU
rnacentral:rRNA from 1 species